CCUACGGGAGGCAGCAGUGGGGAAUAUUGGACAAUGGGCGCAAGCCUGAUCCAGCCAUGCCGCGUGUGUGAAGAAGGCCUUCGGGUUGUAAAGCACUUUUGUCCGGAAAGAAAAGCACUGGGUUAAUACCCUGGUGUCAUGACGGUACCGGGAGAAUAAGCACCGGCUAACUUCGUGCCAGCAGCCGCGGUAAUACGAAGGGUGCAAGCGUUACUCGGAAUUACUGGGCGUAAAGCGUGCGUAGGCGGUUUGUUAAGUCUGAUGUGAAAGCCCUGGGCUCAACCUGGGAAUGGCAUUGGAUACUGGCAACCUAGAAUGUGGUAGAGGGUGGCGGAAUUCCCGGUGUAGCAGUGAAAUGCGUAGAUAUCGGGAGGAACAUCCGUGGCGAAGGCGGCCACCUGGACCAACAUUGACGCUGAGGCACGAAAGCGUGGGGAGCAAACAGGAUUAGAUACCCUGGUAGUCCACGCCCUAAACGAUGCGAACUGGAUGUUGGGCUCAAUUGAGAGCUCAGUAUCGAAGCUAACGCGUUAAGUUCGCCGCCUGGGAAGUACGGUCGCAAGACUGAAACUCAAAGGAAUUGACGG
rnacentral:rRNA from 1 species